GCCAGGCAUGGUGGUGCAUGCCUGUAAUCCCAGCUACUGGGGAGGCUGAGACAGGAGAAUUGCUUGAACCCAGGAGGCAGAGGUCGCAGUGAGCUGAGAUCGUGCCACUGCACUCCAGCCUGGGCGACAGAGCAAGACUCUGUCUCAA
rnacentral:SRP_RNA from 1 species